UUAUAUAGCCUGGAACCUAUUAGUUUCAAACUCAAGUCACUUUUAUCUGGGGACAAAGGGAAUCUUCUGAGCACUUUAUCCAGAAUUCUGUAACUCUUCGGUGCAGGACCAUCCAGGAAAGAGAGACAUUUGUCCUCCCGUCUCGAUAGCUGCAGCUCAAACAUUGGAUGUUGGGAACCUGGGAAAGACUUACUGAAAUGACGUUUGAAAUGUUUUAUUGAAACUGGGUCCAUGAUGAAAUGUUAUUUUCCACUGAAAAUUCAAACAACAAUCCUUUAUUGAUGUUAUGACUUAAACAAGUAAAGACGAAUCUGAACCAUUGGUGCAGAGGUACUUUGAAAUUGGUGAUAGCUGCGAUAUCUUGUCCAUGAGGUUGGGUGAUCUGGAUGUGGAAACUACCUACAAUAUACAAGAUCAAAAUUAAUAUUCAGCAUUGGAAUGUGAUGAUGCCACAUAGUCCGUCCCGACAGUAUUCCAACACAUACAGCCACACAGACAGGGUAAAGCUAAAGACAAAAGGAAAAAUUAGUUGACAACAUGUGACACUCUGGUCCUUUAUGAAGAAAGCUUCACAGAGAAACACGUGGUCAAAUCAAUCAAACCACAAAUCCCAAGGUUGAUUUACGAAUGCAUCCUUUGAUCACUGUAUAAUU